AGAACGAACGCUGGCGGCAUGCCUAUUACAUGCAAGUCGAACGAACUCUUCGGAGUUAGUGGCGCACGGGUGCGUAACGCGUGGGAAUCUGCCCCUUGGUUCGGAAUAACAGUUGGAAACGACUGCUAAUACCGGAUGAUGACGAAAGUCCAAAGAUUUAUCGCCAAGGGAUGAGCCCGCGUAGGAUUAGCUAGUUGGUGAGGUAAAGGCUCACCAAGGCAACGAUCCUUAGCUGGUCUGAGAGGAUGAUCAGCCACACUGGGACUGAGACACGGCCCAGACUCCUACGGGAGGCAGCAGUAGGGAAUAUUGGACAAUGGGCGAAAGCCUGAUCCAGCAAUGCCGCGUGAGUGAUGAAGGCCUUAGGGUUGUAAAGCUCUUUUACCCGAGAUGAUAAUGACAGUAUCGGAGAAUAAGCCCCGGCUAACUCCGUGCUAGCAGCCGC
rnacentral:rRNA from 1 species